GAUGAACGCUGACAGAAUGCUUAACACAUGCAAGUCGAUGGGGAAGUGGUGCUUGCACCCUGGUAACCAUGGCGGACGGGUGGGUAACGCGUAAGGAACUUACCUGCGGGACCGGGAUAACAGCAGGAAACUGCUGACAAGACCGGAUAAGGUCAUUAAGCUGCAUAGCUUAGUGAUGAAAGGAGACGCCUGCGGAGAGCCUUGCGUCCUAUUAGCUAGUUGGAGGGGUAACGGCCCACCAAGGCGAAGAUAGGUAGCCGGCCUGAGAGGGUGGACGGCCACAAGGGGACUGAGAUACGGCCCUUACUCCUACGGGAGGCAGCAGUGGGGAAUAUUGGACAAUGGGGGCAACCCUGAUCCAGCAAUUCUGUGUGCACGAAGACGGUUUUCGGAUUGUAAAGUGCUUUCAGCAGGGAAGAAGGAAGUGACGGUACCUGCAGAAGAAGCGACGGCUAAAUACGUG
rnacentral:rRNA from 1 species